rnacentral:rRNA from 1 species
CGGGUGAGUAAUGCCUAGGAAUCUGCCUGGUAGUGGGGGACGAACGUUUCGAAAGGAACGCUAAUACCGCAUACGUCCUACGGUAGAAAGCAGGGGACCUUCGGGCCUUGCGCNUAUCAGAUGAGCCUAGGUCGGAUUAGCUAGUUGGUGAGGUAAUGGCUCACCAAGGCGACGAUCCGUAACUGGUCUGAGAGGAUGAUCAGUCACACUGGAACUGAGACACGGUCCAGACUCCUACGGGAGGCAGCAGCC